rnacentral:rRNA from 1 species
CACGUAGGGGACGAGCGUUGUCCGGAUUCAUUGGGCGUAAAGGGCGCGUAGGCGGCCUCUGCAAGUCGACUGUGAAAUCUCCGGGCUUAACCCGGAACGGUCAGCCGAUACUGCAGGGCUAGAGUGCAGAAGGGGCAACUGGAAUUCUCGGUGUAGCGGUGAAAUGCGUAGAUAUCGAGAGGAACACCUGCGGCGAAGGCGGCCCCCUGGUUGGAUACUGACGCUGAUACGCGAAAGCGUGGGGAGCAAACAGG